GGGAGUAUAGCUCAGUGGUAGAGUGUGUGUUUAGCACGGGUAGGGUCCUAGGUUCAAUCCCCAGUACCUCCC
rnacentral:tRNA from 1 species